AGUGAACGCUGGCGGUAGGCCUAACACAUGCAAGUCGAACGGCAGCACAGUAAGAGCUUGCUCUUACGGGUGGCGAGUGGCGGACGGGUGAGGAAUACAUCGGAAUCUACUUUUUCGUGGGGGAUAACGUAGGGAAACUUACGCUAAUACCGCAUACGACCUACGGGUGAAAGCAGGGGAUCUUCGGACCUUGCGCGAUUGAAUGAGCCGAUGUCGGAUUAGCUAGUUGGCGGGGGAAAGGCCAACCAAGGCGACGAUCCGUAGCUGGUCUGAGAGGAUGAUCAGCCACACUGGAACUGAGACACGGUCCAGACUCCUACGGGAGGCAGCAGUGGGGAAUAUUGGACAAUGGGCGAAAGCCUGAUCCAGCAAUACCGCGUGGGUGAAGAAGGCCUUCGGGUUGUAAAGCCCUUUUGUUGGGAAAGAAAAGCAGCAGGUUAAUACCCCGCUGUUCUGACGGUACCCAAAGAAUAAGCACCGGCUAACUUCGUG
rnacentral:rRNA from 1 species